rnacentral:rRNA from 1 species
GGUCAAGCUACUAAGGGCGCAUGGUGGAUGCCUUGGCAGAAGACGGCGAUGAAGGACGUGGCAAGCUGCGAUAAGCUUCGGGGAGCCGCAAGCAGGCAUUGAUCCGGAGAUUUCCGAAUGGGGAAACCCAUGAGGGUAAGACCUUCAUACGGCCCGAUGAAUCCAUAGUCGGGUGCGAGCGAACCCAGGGAAGUGAACCAUCUCAGUACCUGGAGGAAAAGAAAGAAACCUCGAUUGCGAUAGUAGUGGCGAGCGAAAUCGCAACAGCCUAAACCUGUUUC